AGUCGAGCGGCAGCGGGAAAGUAGCUUGCUACUUUUGCCGGCGAGGGGCGGAGGGGUGAGUAAUGCCUGGGUAAGUGCCCUCUCGAGGGGGAUAACARUUGGAAACGAGCGCUAAUACCGCACACCCCCUACGGGGGAAAGCGGGGGACCUUCGGGCCUUGCGCGAUUGUAUAUGCCCAGGUGGGAUUAGCUUGUUGGUGAGGUAAUGGCUCACCAAGGCCACGAUCCCUAUCUGGUCUGAGAGGAUGAUCACCCACACUGGAACUGACACACGGCCCACACUCCUACGGGAGGCAGCAGUGGGGAAUAUUGCACAGUGGGSGAAACCCUGAUGCACCCGUGCCGCGUGUGAGAAAAAGGCCUUCGGGUUGUAAAGCACUUUCAGCGAGGAGGAAAGGUUGAUGUCUAAUACUGAUCAUCUGUGACGUUACUCACAAAAAAAACACCGGCUAACUCCGUGCCCGCACCCGCGGUAAUACAGAGGGUGCAAGCGUUAAUCGGAAUUACUGGGCGUAAAGCGCACGCAGGCGGUUGGAUAAGUUAGAUGUGAAACCCCCGGGCUCAACCUGGGAAGUGCAUUUAAAACUGUCCCGCUAGAGUCUUGUAGAGGGGGGUAGAAUUCCAGGUGUAGCGGUGAAAUGCGUAGAGAUCUGGAGGAAUACCGGUGGCGAAGGCGGCCCCCUGGACAAAGACUGACGCUCAGGUGCGAAAGCGUGGGGAGCAAACAGGAUUAGAUACCCUGGUAGUCCACGCCGUAAACGAUGUCGAUUUGGAGGCUGUGUCCUUGAGACGUGGCUUCCGGAGCUAACGCGUUAAAUCGACCGCCUGGGGAGUA
rnacentral:rRNA from 1 species